CCCUUAGAUGUUCUGGGCCGCACGCGCGCUACACUGACGAAUGCAACGAGCUUAUAACCUUGGCCGAAAGGUCUGGGUAAUCUCCAAAUUUCGUCGUGAUGGGGAUAGAUUAUUGCAAUUAUUAAUCUUCAACGAGGAAUGCCUAGUAAGCGCAAGUCAUCAGCUUGCGUUGAUUACGUCCCUGCCCUUUGUACACACCGCCCGUCGCUCCUACCGGUUGAAUGGUCCGGUGAAGCGUUCGGACCGUGGCCUUUGGACGGUUCGCCGUCUGUUGGCUGCGGGAAGUUCGUUAAACCUUAUCAUUUAGAGGAAGGAGAAGUCGUAACA
rnacentral:rRNA from 1 species